GACGAACGCUGGCGGCGUGCUUAACACAUGCAAGUCGAACGGUCAACUCCGCUUCCGGGUGGAUCAGUGUCGAACGGGUGAGUAACACUUAGGCAACCUUCCCUCAGCUCUGGGAUAACUCCAAGAACUUGGGGCUAAUACCGGUUCUGACCGCUGUCCUCAUGGUCUUGUGGUGGUAAGAUUUAUCGGCUGGGGUUUGGCGCGCGGACUAUCAGCUUGUUGGUGGGGUAGUUGCAUACCAAGGCGAAGACGGGUAGCCGGCCUGAGAGGGUGACCGGCCACAAUGCGACUGAGAGAGGGACCAGACUCCUACGGGAGGCAACGGGGGGAAGUAUGGCGGAAUGGGCGAGAGCCUGACGCGGCGACGCCGCGUGGGGGAUGACGGGCUUCGGGUUGUAAACAACUUUCAGCAGGAACGAAGAGAAAGUGACGGUACCUGAAGAAGAAGCACCGGCCAACUACGUG
rnacentral:rRNA from 1 species